GGGAAGGUGGCUCAGUGGUAGAGCGCUUGCCUAGCAUACAUGAAGCCCUAGGUUCGAUUCCUCAGUACCA
rfam:Dipodomys ordii contig_24582, whole genome shotgun sequence.